GACGUAGGGCGCGAGCGUUGUCCGGAUUUAUUGGGCCUAAAGCAUCCGUAGCCGGUUCUACAAGUCUUCCGUUAAAUCCACCUGCUCAACAGAUGGGCUGCGGAAGAUACUAUGGAGCUAGGAGGCGGGAGAGGCAAGCGGUACUCGAUGGGUAGGGGUAAAAUCCGUUGAUCCAUUGAAGACCACCAGUGGCGAAGGCGGCUUGCCAGAACGCGCUCGACGGUGAGGGAUGAAAGCUGGGGGAGCAAACCGG
rnacentral:rRNA from 1 species